rnacentral:rRNA from 1 species
GACCGUUUCACUACGGAAGGGCUGUAUUUAUUGGAUACCAAAACCAUCCUUCCCUCGGGAAGUUUUGUUUGAUGACUCACAAUAACUGAUCGGAUCGCCACUGUGGUGGCGACAGGUCAUUCAACAUUCUGCCCUAUCAGCUUUCGAUGGUUGUGUAGUGGACAACCAUGGCCAUAACGGGUAACGGAGAAUCAGGGUUCGAUUCCGGAGAAGGAGCUUGAGAAUUGGCUACUACAUCUAAGGAAGGCAGCAGGCGCGCAAAUUACCCAAUCCCGAUUCGGGGAGGUAGUGACAAAAAAUAACAAUACCGGGCCUUUUUGGGCUUGGUAAUUGGAAUGAGGGAGAGUUAAACGGACCAUCGAGUAUCCAUUGGAGGGCAAGUCUGGUGCCAGCAGCUGCGGUAAUACCAGCUCCAAUAGCGUAUAUUAAAGUUGUUGCAGUUAAAAAGCUCGUAGUUGGACUUGUGUGCGCUGUCCGCGGGUGGCCUGCGCCCAAAAGGGCGUUUCGGUUCGGCCCCGGUGGCGCCUUGAAAUCUGCAGCUGGGGGGACGUUGGCCUUAACUGGUCGGCGACCGCACGCCGGCUGCUCGGUUACUGUGAGAAAAUUAGAGCGUUCAAGGCAGGCAUUGGGUGCAAUUGAAUACAUUAGCAUGGAAUAAUAAAAUAUGGCUCCUGCCGUAUUUUGUUGGUUUUGACUGGUGGGAGUAAUGAUUGAUAGGGACGGUUGGGGGUGCUAGUAUUGAGCGGCCAGAGGUGAAAUUCAUGGAUUCGCUCAAGACUAACUUAUGCGAAAGCAUUCACCAAGGACGUCCUCUUUAAUCAAGAACGAAAGUUGGGGGAUCGAAGACGAUCAGAUACCGUCGUAGUCUCAACCAUAAACUAUGUCGACUUGGGAUCGGCGGUAGUUUUUUCAUUAAGACACUGUCGGGACCACGGGAGAAAUCAAAGUGUCUGGACUCUGGGGGAAGUAUGGUCGCAAGGCUGAAACUUGAAGGAAUUGACGGAAGGGCACCACCAGGAGUGGAGCCUGCGGCUUAAUUUGACCCAACACGGGGAAACUUACCAGGUCCAGAGAUGUAGAGGAUUGACAGAUUGAAGCUCUUUCUUGAUCACUUCGGUGGUGGUGCAUGGCCGUUCUUAGUUGGUGGAGUGAUUUGUCUGGUUAAUUCCGUUAACGAUCGAGACCUCAGCCUGCUAGUGUAGUCGGCUGGAUUGCCUUUGGCGAUCCGUGAUUUCGACUUCUUAGAGGGACAAUCGACGCGCAGUCGAUGGAAGUUUGAGGCAAUAACAGGUCUGUGAUGCCCUUAGAUGUUCUGGGCCGCACGCGCGCUACACUGCUGGGCUCAGCGAGUUUUACUUGGCCGAGAGGCCCGGUUAAUCUUGU